CUGGAGUCUUAUGCUAUUGUCCAUAACACCUUCGCCCGGUUCAUCCUCGAUUGGCUCUGAUUCUUCUCGGCCGGCGUCUCGCAGAUGUGGCAGCUCAAGGGCGAGGUUGGCGUCAUCUCCAAGGCCGACGGCUCGGCGCUCUUCGAGAUGGGCAACACCAGGGUCAUCGCCGCCAUUUACGGGCCCCGAGAGCGAACAGACGGUCUGCCGUAGCUUGGUCCUUGGAGGGCGGGUCUAUGGGACUUUCUCAAAUCUGGGAUGACAAGUUGUCGCAUCUCGAGCAUGUCUCAUAGGAGAG